UCUGAAGCCAUUUUGGUGUGCCCUCUUUUCUU
rnacentral:piRNA from 1 species